GAAGAAGAGCCAGACAGUGAGACUGGAGGUAAAAUCAGCUCAGAAUGUGAACGAACCGGGAGUAAACGGAGAGAUUUUACUGCAGCUAACGCAGAUACUGAGAUCGAAGGGUCUGCCAGUGGAUGCAGAGCUGUCCUGGAAAACAUCCAGCGCUGGAAAAGUCUUUCAGAAGAUGUGGUAUCAGAAGAGUGAGCUUUCCAACACACCCUGCCAGAGAAACGUGAACUGAACAGCUCUGAACAGACUUUCCUGUGUAGUUUGAGCUGCGUUUUUCAUGCAGAUGCAUUACAUCAGGUGUAUGUGCACUUCUGUGUUUACUAAGAUGUGCUUGAAUCAAGUAGCAUUUGCAAGUUUGGUAAAACAAUAAAUUCCUUUUUGCAUCACA